UCGAACCUACGGGGGGCAGCAGUGGGGAAUAUUGGGCAAUGGGCGCAAGCCUGACCCAGCAACGCCGCGUGAAGGAAGAAGGCUUUCGGGUUGUAAACUUCUUUUCUCAGGGACGAAACAAGUGACGGUACCUGAGGAAUAAGCCACGGCUAACUACGUGCCAGCAGCCGCGGUAAUACGUAGGUGGCAAGCGUUAUCCGGAUUUACUGGGUGUAAAGGGCGUGUAGGCGGGGACGCAAGUCAGAUGUGGAAACCACGGGCUCAACCUGUGGCCUGCAUUUGAAACUGUGUUUCUUGAGUACUGG
rnacentral:rRNA from 1 species